UGAAUGAUAUGCCAGAUCACU
ensembl:piRNA 21ur-105 ncRNA